rnacentral:lncRNA from 1 species
ACAAACGUAACAUGCAUGCUGAGACUAUUACUCCUGGACCACAACUGUAGAUAAACGACAAAGUUUGUAUGUUCACCCUCAUAACAUUUUGAUCAUUUGAACUUGUGACCUCUCUACUGGAACUGUAUUGAACUUCACCUAAAGGAAUUGCUGGAUCCAAUCGCCGUGCCUCGUGGAUCCUCCACUAAGAUCCCAGUUCCCAGACCGAGAUCCCCGAUUCCCAGAUCCCCGUUCCUGAGCUGCAGCAGACUCCCUAGCAGGACUGGGUCCAACCCGCCGGCAAACAAUUUUAACAUAAACCGUUUUCAACUUGGUAAGAGGAAAUCAUUUUGGUUUCUAUCAUAAGUGGUCCACGUAAGUCUAUUCUUUCACCUUAAAACUGCUUCAAAUUGGAACGGUGCUCCCGGGGACAUAGUGAACACUCCAGCGU